AAGUCGUAACAAGGUUUCCGUAGGUGAACCUGCGGAAGGAUCAUUAUUGGGGAGGUCAAGGAUGACCCUGGGUGAUGUGCUGUGUAUGUUGACUGUGAUCUAUGUGACAUGCGAUCACGUGUCAUUUUUCAUUCAUUUUCCAUUUGUUCUAAUCCAUAUUAUCACAACACAACAAAACUGGCAGCAAUGGAUCCCUCGGUUCUC
rnacentral:misc_RNA from 1 species